rnacentral:piRNA from 1 species
UACUCAUGAAUGGGAUUAGUGUACUUAUG